rnacentral:rRNA from 1 species
CGUGUAGGCUGCUUGGAAAGUCGGAUGUGAAAGCCCUGGGCUCAACCUAGGAAGUGCAUUCGAAACUUCCAAGCUCGAGUUUCGGAGAGGGAAGGCGGAAUUCUCGGUGUAGAGGUGAAAUUCGUAGAUAUCGAGAGGAACAUCGGUGGCGAAGGCGGCCUUCUCGGACGAUGACUGACGCUGAGACGCGAAAGCGUGGGGAGCAAACA